AGCAGCCGCGGUAAUUCCAGCUCCAAUAGCGUAUAUUAAAGUUGUUGCAGUUAAAAGCUCGUAGUUGAAUUUCGGGGUUAGUAGGUUGGUCAUGCCUCUGGUAUGUACUGGUCUCACUGAUUCCUCCUUCCUGAUGAACCUUAAUGCCAUUAAUUUGGUGUUUUGGGGAAUUUGGACUGUUACUUUGAAAAAAUUAGAGUGUUUAAAGCAAGCUAACGCUUGAAUACAUUAGCAUGGAAUAAUGAAAUAGGACGUUCGAUCCUAUUUUGUUGGUUUCUAGGAUUGACGUAAUGAUUAAUAGGGAUAGUUGGGGGCAUUAGUAUUCAAUUGUCAGAGGUGAAAUUCUUGGAUUUAUUGAAGACUAACUACUGCGAAAGCAUUUGCCAAGGAUGUUUUCAUUAAUCAAGAACGAAAGUUAGGGGAUCGAAGACGAUCAGAUACCGUCGUAGUCUUAACCAUAAACUAUGCCGACUAGGGAUCGGAUGAUGUUAAUUUUUUAAUGACUCAUUCGGCGCCUUAC
rnacentral:sRNA from 1 species